AUAUGACACGGCUGCUUCAGCGCUAAGGAGUGUGGGAAUUGUAGGCAUCUCAGCGACCAUGUGACCUCUGAGAUCCAAUCGCGAUGCACCCGCCUCCCCAACAGGCUAUAUAUAGCAUGAUAUGAUCAUUAUCUGUCUGCUACCAACAGGGUACUGACAGAUGUCUUUAUUCCUCUUAAAGAUAGGAGAUUAUCUGUGGACUUUUCAGCUGCAAUUGACUGGUCCUUGAUUUUUGCUGCAAACGACUAUCCUUUGACUUUCUAUCACCAGCUGAUGUUUGCUUGCACUCAGACUGUUCAUCUAGUUAAAUACUCCAUAUGAAUUGAGGCUCUUCAGUGCCCAUGUUAUUGUCUUACUUAAUUCCCCUGUAUUCACCUUGAUUUUAUUACGCUUCAAGUCCUGUCAGUUGAACUUGGAUUUCAAUAUCCACCCUGAGGGGGUUUUUCCUUGACUGGCUGUGCAUGAAGCUAGGAGUAAUCUAGAGAGACGAUCUUGUCCU